GCUACAGCUAGCGAGAUCAUUGCUCUACCUAAAGCUAAGCUGAUUUAGCCAGUAAUAUCAUAUGAUCUGGUAGUGCAUAUAUAAGUAUAUGUGUCAUUCUCAAGCUCCAGUGUGCUACUUUCUCCCCUCCAGUUAACAUAUACGUCUAGGUUUUGUUAUCUAUAGUGCAAAUUUUACCAAAGCUACCUCUCAAUUCUCUCUGAUAUGUUUCCGUCAAGCAACAAUG
rnacentral:misc_RNA from 1 species